AUUGAACGCUGGCGGCAGGCUUAACACAUGCAAGUCGAGCGGUAGCACAGGGGAGCUUGCUCCCUGGGUGACGAGCGGCGGACGGGUGAGUAAUGUCUGGGAAACUGCCUGAUGGAGGGGAAUAACUACUGGAAACGGUAGCUAAUACCGCAUAACGUCGCAAGACCAAAGAGGGGGACCUUCGGGCCUCUUGCCAUCAGAUGUGCCCAGAUGGGAUUAGCCAGUAGGUGGGGUAAUGGCUCACCUAGGCGACGAUCCCUAGCUGGUCUGAGAGGAUGACCAGCCACACUGGAACUGAGACACGGUCCAGACUCCUACGGGAGGCAGCAGUGGGGAAUAUUGCACAAUGGGCGCAAGCCUGAUGCAGCCAUGCCGCGUGUGUGAAGAAGGCCUUCGGGUUGUAAAGCACUUUCAGCGAGGAGGAAGGUGGUGAGCUUAAUACGUUCAUCAAUUGACGUUACUCGCAGAAGAAGCACCGGCUAACUCCGUG
rnacentral:rRNA from 1 species